AGAGUUUGAUCCUGGCUCAGGAUGAACGCUGGCGGUCUGCUUAACACAUGCAAGUCGAACGGAACUCUUCGGAGUUCAGUGGCGAACGGGUGCGUAACACGUGGGCGACCUGCCGGGGCGCGGGGGACAACCCGGGGAAACCCGGGCUAAUACCGCAUGUGCUCAGGCGGCUUCAUGGCUGCUUGAGGAAACCUGCUUAACAGCAGGGUGCUCCGAGGGGCCCGCGGCGUAUCAGGUAGUUGGUGGGGUAACGGCUCACCAAGCCGACGACGCGUAGCUGGUCUCAGAGGACGACCGGCCACAUUGGGACUGAGACACGGCCCAGACUCCUACGGGAGGCAGCAGUGGGGAAUCUUGCGCAAUGGGCGAAAGCCUGACGCAGCCAUGCCGCGUGAAUGAUGAAGGUCUUAGGAUUGUAAAAUUCUUUCAGCAGGGACGAUAAUGACGGUACCUGCAGAAGAAGCCCCGGCUAACUUCGUGCCAGCAGCCGCGGUAAUACGUAGGGGGCGAGCGUUGUCCGAAGUUACUGGGCGUAAAGCGCGCGUAGGCGGUUGCCUAAGUCUGGGGUGAAAGGUUCAGGGCUUAACCCGAACAGUGCCUUGGAUACUGGGCGACUUGAGUGCCGAAGAGGAAAGCGGAAUUCCUGGUGUAGCGGUGAAAUGCGUAGAUAUCAGGAGGAACACCGAUGGCGAAGGCAGCUUUCUGGUCGGUAACUGACGCUGAGGUGCGAAAGCGUGGGGAGCGAACGGGAUUAGAUACCCCCGUAGUCC
rnacentral:rRNA from 1 species